GAUGAACGCUGACAGAAUGCUUAACACAUGCAAGUCUUUGGCGAAGCUGUGCUUGCACAGCCUAGCCAAGGCGGACGGGUGAGUAACGCGUAAGGAACUUGCCCUGCAGUCAGGGAUAACAGACGGAAACGACUGAUAAGACCUGGUAAAGUCAGGCGGCCUCAUGUCCAGCCUGAUGAAAAGAGAUGCUGCAGGAGAGCCUUGCGUCCUAUUAGCUUGUUGGUGGGGUAACGGCCCACCAAGGCGAUGAUAGGUAGCCGGCCUGAGAGGGUGGACGGCCACAAGGGGACUGAGAUACGGCCCUUACUCCUACGGGAGGCAGCAGUGGGGAAUAUUGGACAAUGGGGGCAACCCUGAUCCAGCAAUUCUGUGUGCACGAUGAAGGUUUUCGGAUUGUAAAGUGCUUUCAGCAGGGAAGAAAAAAAUGACGGUACCUGCAGAAGAAGCGACGGCUAAAUACGUG
rnacentral:rRNA from 1 species